UUGCUCUUUAACAAUUUGGAAAGCUGACGAAUAACAACAAUCCCCAUCUCUAUGAGAUGCGUUGUUAUUCAAUUAAAAGUUCUCAAAUCCUAAAACUAUGUUUUAGGUACCAACACACAUUCAAGUGUUCUUGGAAAUUUGAGUCCGGCAAAAUCGUGUCUGCACAUGUAUAAAAAUGCAGACAACUUUGGUUGUUUAAACAGAGACCCUUUGGGGUUGUAUGGUUAAGU
rnacentral:misc_RNA from 1 species